rnacentral:misc_RNA from 1 species
GGGUGCUUCUUUAGAUGAUGUUAAGGCCAUGCAGGGAACGGUCAAUCAGAUGCCUCAGGCUAACCAAUCAGUAGCUAUGUCAGUUGAAAAACAAACACCAGAUGGAAUUAAUAGAAAAGAUAAAUUCUGAACUUGACCAUUCUACAGAUCAGUUAAGCCAGGUAACCUCAACCGGAGAAUGCAAUGAGGACAAACCACCCUCAAGUCGUACAAAUCUGCAGAACUGUGGUAACCAGCUGGAAUUUCAAAACCAGAACCAGGCUCUAUUGCAUGCACAAAGCAGUCUCUGGCCUGUACAACCAUUGUUGGAGCCUUCUGUCAUGCACCCCCAGCAAAUUAAUAUACCCCAAGCUGAUUCUAAUACCCUAAAUGGUUCACUGCCUUUCCAAGAUGCUGAUGGAUGGAUUUCAAACCCCCCUUCUUGCAUCUCUCUCCCUGGGAUUUAUGGAUCAUCAGGGGCUUUGUCGAUGUUUGGGCUGCAAGAACAGUCAGCCAUACUCCCAGACCCCUCUAUACCUUUAAUGAAUCAGGAUUUGUGGGAUCAGCAACUGAACAAUUUGAGAUUUUUACCCCCAGCUAGCCAACUCGUUCCUUUAGCUCAGCAAGAACCCUGUAGUCUU